CCCGCCCCUAGAAAUGUUGCAGAUGUUGGCGCUGUGUCACACCUGCCUCAGUAAGCUGCAGAGAGGAGAGACUGUGUGGAGGCUGUAUUCGGACUGUACACAUCUGAGUGAUAAUAGCCUACCAUU